rnacentral:misc_RNA from 1 species
CUCCAACUACACCACUUAAAUUCCCCUCCUAUCUCUCUCUCUUUCCAUUUACACACAUGUCUGUUUGUUUGUGGUUGGUGACGUGAUUCCAAAUUCUUGAUCCUUUGAUUUUGAUGUUGAUCCUAUCUGCUGCUUGUCUAGUCUCUCUUUCUCUUUCACUCUUUAAUCGAAAUCCCUGGCUUUCUUCUUUCUUUCUUUUUUUCCUCUCUCUCUUGUGUUGGGUUUUCAGAGAUGGGACUAAUGAUUCAUUGCCGCUGAUCCUGGAGAUCUAAAUUUCUUUAUUUGGAUUCUUUUUUAUUUUAAUUUGUUUUUCUACAAUUUUUUUUGCCUUGUUUUUAUGCCCAGGCGCUUAAAAUCUUGGAUUUUGUGGACUUUUCAUGUCGUUGAUUUGAUUCUUGGUGUUGGGUUUCUCUCAUUUCUGUUAGUGGUAUCAAAUCCACUUGAAAGUUUCUUUUUUGGCGCGGAGUUGGUGAUCAAUACAUUUUACUAAUUAAUUUUGCAUUAAAGCGUCCCAAUUUUGCAUGAGAGGAAGUGGUUGCAGCUAUUAGAAUUGAAUCCCAAUAAGAGUUUAGGAGAUUUGUUUAAUUGAAUGAAGUGAGAUACAAAAGGGAAAAAAAAUGGCAAGACAUAGAGGAGACAAGGAAGAUGGAUUAGAUAGGCACAUGGGUUUGCUAAAACUAGUGCAAAUAUUAUCUUUUUUGGUUGUUUUUGUGGCUGGUAUAAUUUUGGGUUUAGCAACAAGUUCUCACAUCAAUCAGUACUUCACUUCACAAGCUCGCCUAUUCUUCACGAACAACAUAGCAUCAACAACAAUCACAGGUGGUAAUUGCACAAUUUUGAGACCUUGUAAGAGGGUUGAUUGCUUUGGUAUGGAUACGUUUCUUCAUCCAAAGAACUUGACUCAUAGCAUGAAUGAUGAGGAGCUUUUUUGGAGGGCUUCUUUGAUGCCAACUAAGAAAGGGUAUCCCUUUGAUAGAUUGCCUAAAGUAGCUUUCAUGUUUUUGACGAGAGGGCCUUUGCCUAUGUUGCCAUUGUGGGAGAGGUUCUUUAGAGGUCAUGAGAAGUAUUUCUCUAUCUAUAUCCAUACACCUCAGGACUAUGUGCUCAAUGUUUCAAGGGAUUCUCCAUUCUACAGAAGGCAAAUACCGAGUCAGUAUGUUGAAUGGGGAACAGUUUCACUGGUUGAUGCUGAGAAGCGCCUUCUAGCCAAUGCCCUGCUGGAUUUCUCAAAUGAGCGGUUUGUUCUUCUCUCUGAGAGCUGCAUACCAAUCUACAAUUUCCCUAUUGUCUACAAGUAUCUCAUUUAUUCUGAAUAUAGCUUUGUUGAGUCAUAUGAUGAUCCCUCUCGUUAUGGUCGUGGCCGCUACAACCGAAAAAUGCUUCCUGAUAUUAAGCUCUUUCAGUGGAGGAAAGGGUCUCAGUGGUUUGAGAUCCAACGGGCUUUGGCUGUUCAUAUAGUCUCAGACACCAAGUACUAUUCUGUCUUCAAGAAAUAUUGUAAGCCUGCCUGCUAUCCCGAUGAGCAUUACAUUCCAACUUAUCUGAACAUGUUCCAUGGUUCGCUUAAUGCUAAUCGCACAGUAACUUGGGUUGAUUGGUCGCUGGGGGGACCCCAUCCAGCAACAUAUAACGGAAUUAACGUUACAGAGAGUUUAAUACAGUCUGUUCGGAAUAAUGGAACAGAAUGUUCAUACAAUUCAGCCAUGACAUCUGUUUGUUACCUCUUUGCUCGGAAGUUUCAUCCAAGUGCUCUGGAGUCCUUGCUUAACCUCACCUCAACAGUAAUGGAAUUUUGAUUACUCAUUUUCUUUUCUUGGCAGAGAUAUGACAUCAUUUCUGUAGUGCCCCUAGACAUUGGCUGGCGGCUCUCAUAACAAUUUUGUUUAGGCACAAUUGUACAGUUGAUUUUUAUAGGUCAUUGGGAUCGUUGAUCAUUAAGGGAAUCGCUAUUUGUUGAUCUAAUUUUGAGAGCAUUAGCUAGCCUUUUGAGAAGCAGCAACUCAGAAAGCUUAUGUCAAUGAUUACUGAGUUCAUUUUGGUUGAUGAUCAGGUAGUUGGGGGCUCUUAAAUCUGUGUUUGUUAUUAGGAAAGUUUUACAGAUUGCUUGCUAGCGUAUACUGUGCUAAUAACAAGUCCAAAAGCCUUGUAAAGCUUAUUAGUUAUGAUUUUUUUAUUCCAGCACUGUUGUCAAAAUCAAUUUUCUGAUAUGGGAACAUUAUGGCAAACCUCAAGGAGAUUUCAG